rnacentral:rRNA from 1 species
CCUACGGGUGGCAGCAGUGAGGAAUAUUGGUCAAUGGGCGGGAGCCUGAACCAGCCAAGUCGCGUGAGGGACGACGGUCUUAUGGAUUGUAAACCUCUUUUGUCGGGGAACAAAGGCGUCCACGGGUGGGCGGAUGAGUGUACCCGAAUAAAAAGCAUCGGCUAACUCCGUGCCAGCAGCCGCGGUAAUACGGAGGAUGCGAGGGUGAUCCGGAUUUAUUGGGGGUAAAGGGUGCGUAGGCGGAGCGUUAAGUCAGUGGUAAAAUUGAGGGGCUCAACCCCUUCCCGCCAUUGAAACUGGCGAGCUUGAGUGGGAGAGAAGUAUGUGGAAUGCGUGGUGUAGCGGUGAAAUGCAUAGAUAUCACGAAGAACACCGAUGGCGAAGGCAGCAUGCCGGCUUCCUACUGACGCUGAGGCACGAAAGCGUGGGGAUCGAACAGGAUUAGAUACCCUUGUAGUC